GCGUGAGUGAUGAAGGCCUUAGGGUUGUAAAACUCUUUCAGGGGUGAAGAUAAUGACGGUAACCCCAGAAGAAGCUCCGGCUAACUCCGUGCCAGCAGCCGCGGUAAUACGGAGGGAGCUAGCGUUGUUCGGAAUUACUGGGCGUAAAGCGCGCGUAGGCGGCUUGGCAAGUAGAGGGUGAAAUCCCGGAGCUUAACUCCGGAACUGCCUCCUAAACUGCUGAGCUAGAAUCCUGGAGAGGUGAGUGGAAUUCCUAGUGUAGAGGUGAAAUUCGUAGAUAUUCGGAGUGGAAUUCCGAGUGUAGAGGUGAAAUUCGU
rnacentral:rRNA from 1 species